rnacentral:rRNA from 1 species
AUAUUGGUCAAUGGACGCAAGUCUGAACCAGCCAUGCCGCGUGAAGGAUGAAGGUCCUCUGGAUUGUAAACUUCUUUUAUCUGGGACGAAAACUGGAUUUUUAUCUCAAUUGACGGUACCAGAGGAAUAAGCACCGGCUAACUCCGUGCCAGCAGCCGCGGUAAUACGGAGGGUGCGAGCGUUAUCCGGAUUUACUGGGUUUAAAGGGUGCGUAGGUGGGCUUAUAAGUCAGUGGUGAAAUCUCCGAGCUUAACUUGGAAACUGCCGUUGAUACUAUAGGUCUUGAAUUAUCUGGAGGUAAGCGGAAUAUGUCAUGUAGCGGUGAAAUGCUUAGAUAUGACAUAGAACACCAAUUGCGAAGGCAGCUUACUACAUAUAAAUUGACGCUGAGGCACGAAAGCGUGGGGA